rnacentral:rRNA from 1 species
UACGUAGGGUGCAAGCGUUAUCCGGAAUUAUUGGGCGUAAAGAGCUCGUAGGCGGUUUGUCGCGUCUGCUGUGAAAACUGGAGGCUCAACCUCCAGCCUGCAGUGGGUACGGGCAAACUAGAGUGCGGUAGGGGAGAUUGGAAUUCCUGGUGUAGCGGUGAAAUGCGCAGAUAUCAGGAGGAACACCAAUGGCGAAGGCAGCUCGCUGGGACGGUACUGACGCUGAGGAACGAAAGCGUGGGGAGCGAACAGG